AACGAACGCUGGCGGCAUGCCUAACACAUGCAAGUCGAACGAGACCUUCGGGUCUAGUGGCGCACGGGUGCGUAACGCGUGGGAAUCUGCCCUUGGGUGCGGAAUAACUUUCCGAAAGGAAUGCUAAUACCGCAUAAUGUCGUAAGACCAAAGAUUUAUCGCCCAAGGAUGAGCCCGCGUAAGAUUAGCUAGUUGGUGGGGUAAAAGCCUACCAAGGCGACGAUCUUUAGCUAGUCUGAGAGGAUGAUCAGCCACACUGGGACUGAGACACGGCCCAGACUCCUACGGGAGGCAGCAGUGGGGAAUAUUGGACAAUGGGCGAAAGCCUGAUCCAGCAAUGCCGCGUGAGUGAUGAAGGCCUUAGGGUUGUAAAGCUCUUUUACCCGGGAUGAUAAUGACAGUACCGGGAGAAUAAGCUCCGGCUAACUCCGUGCCAGCCGCCGCGGUAAGAC
rnacentral:rRNA from 1 species